AGCUGCUUCCGGUGACGUCGCAGGCGGCGCCGUCGGUGGUCCGGAAAGUGGCUCAGGCCCCCAGGAUAAACCUAAGAGAGUAGAGGAAAAGAUUUUCUUUCCCAGCAGGCAUUAGAUGUUACAGCAAAAAUAAUUUAUUUAGAAUCAGGCCCAAGGUGAAUGAAGAAAGGGAAUGAGUACCGGCAUCCUGAAAGAAAAUGGCAGAGUCAGCUUUCUGUAAGAAGCAGUGACUGCUGAUAAAAGUUGCAGUUACCAGCAGUCAACAAUGAUCUGGAAGCAGAUGUUCCUCCUGAUAAAUCCGAUCAUCAGAAGGUCAGUA